UACGGGGGGGGUAAGCGUUGUCCGGAAUUAUUGGGCGUAAAGAGCUCGUAGGCGGUUCGUCGCGUCGGCUGUGAAAUCCCGAGGCUCAACCUCGGGUCUGCAGUCGAUACGGGCGGACUGGAGUUCGGCAGGGGAGACUGGAAUUCCUGGUGUAGCGGUGAAAUGCGCAGAUAUCAGGAGGAACACCGGUGGCGAAGGCGGGUCUCUGGGCCGAUACUGACGCUGAGGAGCGAAAGCGUGGGGAGCGAACAGG
rnacentral:rRNA from 1 species